UACGGGGGGGGCAAGCGUUGUUCGGAAUUACUGGGCGUAAAGGGCUCGUAGGCGGCCAACUAAGUCGGACGUGAAAUCCCCAGGCUCAACCUUUGAAUGCCGCUGGAAACUGUCUGGCUAGAGUCCGGGAGGGGCGAGUGGAAUUCCUGGUGUAGCGGUGAAAUGCGUAGAUAUCUGGAGGAACACCGGUGGCGAAGGCGGCAUCCUGGACCAAUACUGACGCUGAGGAGCGAAAGCCAGGGGAGCAAACGGG
rnacentral:rRNA from 1 species